rnacentral:piRNA from 1 species
UGCCAGUAAAGCAUAGGGCUGGGGU